rnacentral:rRNA from 1 species
GCUAUUUGGGUGAGGAUAAGCCAUGCGAGUUGUAUGGGAUCCCUAAAGUUCCCAUAGCAAACUGCUCAGUAACACAUGAUCAACUUGCCCUAUAGUGAGUCGUAUUAACGGGAAACUGAGGAUAAUGGCUCAUACUUGAUUAGGCUUGGAAAAGUUUUCAAUGAAAGGCGUAAGAAAAAUGGUUCUUAUGCGCCAUAGGAUAGGAUCGUGCUCGAUUAUGGUAGUUGGUGAGGUAACGGCUCACCAAGCCGAUAAUCGAUAGGGGCCGUGAGAGCGGUUGCCCCGAGAUGGGUACUGAGACAGCGACCCAGGCCUUACGAGGCGCAGCAGGCGCGAGACCUCCGCAAUACACGCAAGUGUGACGGGGUUACCCAAAGUGUCCUUAUUGGACUGUGGCGGGUGAGUAAUGUUCCCCGCUAGAAAGGAGAGGGCAAGGCUGGUGCCAGCCGCCGCGGUAAAACCAGCUCUUCAAGUGGUCGGGAUAAUUAUUGGGCUUAAAGUGUCCGUAGCCGGUUUAGUAAGUUCCUGGUAAAACCGGGCAGCUUAACUGUCCGUAUGCUAGCAAUACUGCUAUGCUAGAGGGCGGGA